rnacentral:rRNA from 1 species
UACGUAGGGUGCGAGCGUUGUCCGGAAUUAUUGGGCGUAAAGGGCUCGUAGGCGGUCUGUCACGUCGGGAGUGAAAACUCAGGGCUUAACCCUGAGCCUGCUUCCGAUACGGGCAGACUAGAGGUAUGCAGGGGAGAACGGAAUUCCUGGUGUAGCGGUGAAAUGCGCAGAUAUCAGGAGGAACACCGGUGGCGAAGGCGGGUCUCUGGGCAAUUCCUGACGCUGAGGCGCGAAAGCGUGGGGGAGCAAACGGG